CAGCAGCCGCGGUAACACCGAGGGUGCGAGCGUUAAUCGGAUUUACUGGGCGUAAAGCGUGCGUAGGCGGCUUUUUAAGUCGGAUGUGAAAUCCCUGAGCUUAACUUAGGAAUUGCAUUCGAUACUGGGAAGCUAGAGUAUGGGAGAGGAUGGUAGAAUUCCAGGUGUAGCGGUGAAAUGCGUAGAGAUCUGGAGGAAUACCGAUGGCGAAGGCAGCCAUCUGGCCUAAUACUGACGCUGAGGUACGAAAGCAUGGGGAGCAAACAGGAUUAGAGACCCGUGUAGUCCCUGUCUCUUAUAC
rnacentral:rRNA from 1 species